AAUUUUUAUACUUGUUGAAAAUGUUCUUCAUCUCUGUUUCGUAUCUAGAAUACUUUUGCAAAAUUUAUUUUAUUGGUAUAUGCUUCAAAUCUCUAUAACGAUACAUUUGUAAACAUCACUUUUGUAUAUCUUUCCAGUGACCUGAGGCCCGCACCGCGCGUCUUAAAAGAAGGGAAAAAAACUCUCUUGUUCGCCAAUGAACUUAACACAAACCUAAUACAAAACAAACCAUCUAAAAAAGAACGUGUUACUAUUACACACACAUGACAUUUACCGGAAUGACGCUAUCUGCUUUCUGUCAAAAGUUACGGUGGGGUCCCGGCAACCGAACAUCUUCCCCUAUAUUAAAAUAUUUUCCAAUGGUCAAAGGAAAAUUGUGGAAGGUCUUGUAACAAUAAAUCUAUUGUAUGGGUAACCACUGCAAUUAUGUGAAAUGCGCAGCUAACGGAAACGGAUAUCUAAUGGAAAGAAGCUGUUUGUAAUAACAAGCUAUAUCAACCUCACAAAACAUUUUUGCGUCCGGAUUGGGUAUACAUUUCAAUAAUGAAAGCCUUAAAAUAAUAUAAACCACCGGUAUAGUCCCGUUAACGUUGACGAAAAUUGACUGAUUGUCCUAGUCUUACUUAAAACUGUUUGAUGGUAGGUGUUUCGUGAUGUAAAGAAACUAAUUUCAAAAUGGCGAAAGUUGAGUUCCUCGCAUCAUCCGGAAUACCGCAGGGAAGUCACCUCGGACCGUAAAUAGUUUUACAGUAUUUCGAUGAUGUCAAUUGCGAGGAACUCAAAAUAGCGAAAGUUGAGUUACUCGCAACAUCCGGAAUACUGCAGGGAAGUCAUCUCGGACCGUUAAUAUUUUUACAGUGCUUCGAUAAUGUCAAUUUUGCUCUGGAAGACUCUCGCUUAUC